rnacentral:rRNA from 1 species
GAUAAACGCUGGCGGCGUGCUUAAUACAUGCAAGUCGAGCGGCAGCAUGGUCUUCGGACUGAUGGCGAGCGGCGGACGGCUGAGUAACGCGUAGGAACGUACCCCAAAGUGAGGAAUAACUGCCCGAAAGGGUAGCUAAUGCCGCAUGUGGUCUUCGGAUUAAAGCUUUAUGCGCUUUGGGAACGGCCUGCGUACGAUUAGCUUGUUGGUGAGGUAAUGGCUUACCAAGGCAGUGAUCGUUAGCUGGUCUGAGAGGAUGACCAGCCAGACUGGGACUGAGACACGGCCCAGACUCCUACGGGAGGCAGCAGUAGGGAAUUUUCCACAAUGGGCGAAAGCCUGAUGGAGCAACGCCGCGUGCAGGAUGAAGGCCUUCGGGUCGUAAACUGCUUUUCUUUGUGAGGAUUAUGACAGUAGCAGAGGAAUAAGGAUCGGCUAACUCCGUGCCAGCAGCCGCGGUCAUACGGAGGAUCCAAGCGUUAUCCGGAAUUACUGGGCGUAAAGAGUUGCGUAGGCGGCAGAGUAAGCAGAGUGUGAAAUCGUGUGGCUCAACCAUACAUCCAUACUUUGAACUGCUCAGCUAGAGAAUGAGAGAGGUGGCUGGAAUUCCCAGUGUAGGAGUGAAAUCCGUAGAUAUUGGGAGGAACACCGAUGGCGUAGGCAGGCCACUGGCUCAUUUCUGACGCUCAGGCACGAAAGCGUGGGGAGCGACCGGGAUUAGAUACCCCGUUAGUCCGCGCCGUAAACUAUGGAUGCUAGCUGUGUUCCGUAUCGAUCCGGGACGUAGCGAAGCUAACGCGUUAAGCAUCCCGCCUGUGGAGUACGGUCGCAAGACUAAAACAUAAAGGAAUUGACGGGGACCCGCACAAGCGGUGGAGCGUGUUCUUUAAUUCGAUGGUAAGCGAAGAACCUUACCAGGGUUUGACAUCCCGUGAAUUUUGUCGAAAGAUGA